UCGGAAACGAACUUCUAUUUCGUGACGUCAGUAGUCGAUCUACUCUCUUGAAUUCUAAUGUUUUAUUUUUGGUUGCCGCCUUGUCCCUGGAGAGGAUGAAAUAUGGAGGCAAACGUCAAAAUCCCUUAAUAAUUCUUAAAUGAUAAAGAUUUAGAAACCUCCUACAAGUUAGUAGACUAAGGAACUGAGGCAAGAACUGGCUAAAAAAUAAUUUCCAGUUUAGUGAAGCCUUUUACAUCAGUGAGCACUUAGAAAAUCCAAUAUACCAAUUUCAAUAAAGGAGUUUCGAAACUUAGCAAAAUAAAGCCUAAAUAUUUAGGCCUUUUGGGCAAGAGUAAUUAAACCAAUGAAUAAAUAUAAAGCAAAAAAAUCAUGAAGGUUUUGUGCGAGUUGCAAAUUAUUAAAUGAAAAUAGCACUUAACAAUUUGAAAUAAUCAGAGUCAUUUUUGUGAAUUUUUGUAAUUUUUUUAUAUUUGAGUUGUUGGUUUUUUAAAGGCCCUGAAAACUUCCAAGUUGUGGAUAAGAAGGAUGAAUGAAAGAGAAGAAAGAA